AUUAGCUCAACUGGAUAGAGCAUCGGUCUUCGGAACCGAGGGUUGCGGGUUCAAAUCCUGUAUG
rnacentral:tRNA from 1 species